rnacentral:rRNA from 1 species
CGAAACUGGAGAUGGCGACCGGCGCACGGGUGAGUAACACGUAUCCAACCUGCCGAUAACUCGGGGAUAGCCUUUCGAAAGAAAGAUUAAUACCCGAUGGCAUAAUAGAACCGCAUGGUUUGAUUAUUAAAGAAUUUCGGUUAUCGAUGGGGAUGCGUUCCAUUAGGCAGUUGGUGGGGUAACGGCCCACCAAACCUUCGAUGGAUAGGGGUUCUGAGAGGAAGGUCCCCCACAUUGGAACUGAGACACGGUCCAAACUCCUACGGGAGGCAGCAUG